CCUCACAUCUCUGUUGAGGGUCACCAGGAUGGAGGGAUCCGAGUGGUGUGUCAGUCGGCCGGAUGGUACCCAGAGCCCGAGGUGCUGUGGAGAAAUCUCAAAGAGCAGCCUUUGUCUUCGUCAACUAAAACCAAAUCUGAAGAGGAACAUGGUCUCUUUGAAAUAAAAAAUUCUAUCAUUAUAACAGAAAAUUCAAACAAGAAUUUGUCCUGUGCUAUAAGGAACACCCACCUGAACCAAGAAAAAGAAUCAAUAACAUUUUAUAUAUCAGAUUCUUUUUUCCCCAAGAGUAUCUCCCUGGAUGGUGGGUUGGAGUGUGACUUUGGUGAUUUUGUUGGUGUUCGUCGGCCUUACUCUUUUUCUGUUCAAAUUAAAAGGGAAACAUCUCAACAUUAUCAGUAAACUUCAAACAGAGCUAGAGUGGAGGAGAUUCCUGGGUGAUGCAGGUAAUUAAAAAUCAUAUUUAAUCAAUGGGGGGAUCAUGCUCCCUUUUGCUGUGCAAAUAAACAAGGAGAAAACUAUAAUAUUUCCCAGGUGGAAGAAGGGAGGGUGCUGAGGUUCAAAGGAGGGAGAGGAAUGGACCAUCCUCGUAUGUCAUCCUUACACAUUGCUUCCAUAACUCUGGAAACGUCCCUGCGCUGAGUGACUGAGCAGUUAUUGUUUCUUAGGAUCCCCGCCCUAGUGUCAGGUAGAGGAACAAGAGCGCUGACCAGACACACGAGUUCAAACCAAGGAGUCCCUGUGAUCAGUGUUCAGCUUGUGCUUCUUUUCUCUUCUCUCCAUCCACAGUGAUCUCCCCUUUCUGCUCUCUCCGUCAGAUCCGAGCUUCCUGCUGUUUUUAACCAUCUUAUCCACGUUCUCCUCCAUGCAUUCAUUUCUAUCAAACCCUCUUUCUUCUCUCUCCACCACCAACUCUCCUCUCUUGUAGAAGCCCCUUGCUCAUAAAUACAAAUCUUUGUUAGC